rnacentral:rRNA from 1 species
AGCAGCCGCGGUAAUUCCAGCUCCAAUAGCGUAUAUUAAAGUUGUUGCAGUUAAAAAGCUCGUAGUUGAAUUUCGGGAUUGACGUGACGGUCGUGCCUUAAGGGGUAUGAACUGUCGCCGUUGAUUUCUCACCUUCUGGAGAAGCUCGAUGUCCUUAAUUGGAUGUCUUGUGGAACCAGGACCUUUACCUUGAAAAAAAUUAGAGUGUUUAAAGCAGGCAUUUUGCUCGAAUACAUUAGCAUGGAAUAAUAGAAUAGGACGGCAUGGUUCUAUUUUGUUGGUUUCUAGGAUCACCGUAAUGAUUAAUAGGGAUAGUUGGGGGCAUUAGUAUUCAAUUGUCAGAGGUGAAAUUCUUGGAUUUAUUGAAGACUAACUACUGCGAAAGCAUUUGCCAAGGAUGUUUUUCAUUAAUCAAGAACGAAAGUUAGGGGAUCGAAGACGAUCAGAUACCGUCGUAGUCUUAACCAUAAACUAUGCCGACUAGGAAUCAGACGAUGUUAAUUUUUAAUGACUCGUUUGGC